ensembl:snRNA U6 U6 spliceosomal RNA
GUGCUCGCUUUGGCGGCACAUAUAUUAAAAUUGGAAUGAUACAGAAAAGGUUAGCAUGGCCCCUGCACAAGGAUGACACUCAAAUUCGUGAAGUGUUUCGUAUUUUU